UCCUCUCUCUCUCUCUCUCUCCGGCACGGCUGCACGGCCCCUCUAUUCUCAGCCUCUCUCUCAGUCGCCGGUGACAUUGUUGAUUUGCUACCUCGCUGUCGAAGGCUCGAACUCUUCACUCUUGGUUUGCUCUCUUCGACUCUUCCUCAAGCUGUGAUUCUGUGAAGCUCCGUGACUCAAGCUUGGAGAAAUUUGGGUUCGAUUUCUGGGUUCAAGUUCGGUGAUUCUUCAAGCUCAAUUUAUGGCUUUUGCUGUUCACUCUCUUCCCGUUGCUGUUGCUGCUCUCCGGUUUUAUUGUUCACUCUGC